rnacentral:rRNA from 1 species
AGAGUUUGAUCCUGGCUCAGAAUCAACGCUGGCGGCGUGCCUCAGACAUGCAAGUCGAACGAUUAAAGCUCUCUUCGGAGAGUGCAUAGAGUGGCGCACGGGUGAGUAACACGUAAGUAAUCUACCCUCGAGUGGGGAAUAACGUUCGGAAACGGACGCUAAUACCGCAUAAUGCAGCGGCACCGCAAGGUGACAGUUGUUAAAGAUUUAUCGCUUGAGGAGGAGCUUGCGGCAGAUUAGCUAGUUGGUAAGGUAAUGGCUUACCAAGGCUACGAUCUGUAACCGGUCUUAGAGGACGGUCGGUCACACUGACACUGAAUAACGGGUCAGACUCCUACGGGAGGCAGCAGUCGGGAAUUUUGGGCAAUGGGCGAAAGCCUGACCCAGCAACGCCGCGUGAAGGAUGAAGUAUUUCGGUAUGUAAACUUCGAAAGAAUAGGAAGAAUCAAUGACGGUACUAUUUAUAAGGUCCGGCUAACUACGUGCCAGCAGCCGCGGUAAUACGUAGGAACCAAGCGUUGUUCGGAUUUACUGGGCGUAAAGGGCGCGUAGGCGGCGCGGUAAGUCACUUGUGAAAUCUCUGAGCUUAACUCAGAACGGCCAAGUGAUACUGCAGUGCUAGAGUGUGGAAGGGGCAAUCGGAAUUCUUGGUGUAGCGGUGAAAUGCGUAGAUAUCAAGAGGAACACCUGAGGUGAAGACGGGUUGCUGGGCCAACACUGACGCUGAGGCGCGAAAG